UACGGAGGGGGCUAGCGUUGUUCGGAAUUACUGGGCGUAAAGCGCACGUAGGCGGCUUUGCAAGUUAGAGGUGAAAGCCCGGGGCUCAACUCCGGAAUUGCCUUUAAAACUGCAUCGCUAGAAUUGUGGAGAGGUAAGUGGAAUUCCGAGUGUAGAGGUGAAAUUCGUAGAUAUUCGGAAGAACACCAGUGGCGAAGGCGACUCACUGGACAGAUAUUGACGCUGAGGUGCGAAAGCGUGGGGAGCAAACAGG
rnacentral:rRNA from 1 species